AUACGGAGGAUGCGAGCGUUAUCCGGAUUUAUUGGGUUUAAAGGGUGCGUAGGCUGUGCGUUAAGUCAGGGGUGAAAUGCCGUCGCUCAACGACGGAGCUGCCCUUGAUACUGGCGUGCUGGAGUACGGAUGCCGUUGGAGGAAUGAGUGGUGUAGCGGUGAAAUGCUUAGAUAUCACUCAGAACACCGAUUGCGAAGGCAUCUGACGAAUCCGUCACUGACGCUGAGGCACGAAAGCGUGGGGAUAGAACAGGAUUAGAUACCCUGGUAUUCCACGCCGUAAACGAUGAUGACUAACCGUCGGCGAUAGACAGCCGGUGGCCAAGCGAAAGCGAUAAGUCAUCCACCUGGGGAGUACGUCGGCAACGAUGAAACUCAAAGGAAUUGGCGGG
rnacentral:rRNA from 1 species